AAAGUGCAGUUAUGGAAGGAGAAGCUAGCUCAACCAUAUAGCGAGUCUUGUGCUGCUGAAGGUAACAACAGUAGUAAAGCGUAGACGUGGAAACAUUUGAGCUAAAACCAAAUGGUGAACGUGAUAGCUCCGAAAGUAUGAUGUAGUGGAAGCCGAUAUGCUCUACUACAUAGUAGGCAAAAGAAGAUUGGAGGUCAAACUAGUGAAAAUUCAAAAAUUUUCAACCAUCUAGGUUGCAGGCAU
rfam:Orientia tsutsugamushi Boryong complete genome